UGAACGCUGGCGGCAGGCCUAACACAUGCACGUCGAGCGGAUGAAGGGAGCUUGCUCCUGGAUUCAGCGGCGGACGGGUGAGUAAUGCCUAGGAAUCUGCCUGGUAGUGGGGGAUAACGUCCGGAAACGGGCGCUAAUACCGCAUACGUCCUGAGGGAGAAAGUGGGGGAUCUUCGGACCUCACGCUAUCAGAUGAGCCUAGGUCGGAUUAGCUAGUUGGUGGGGUAAAGGCCUACCAAGGCGACGAUCCGUAACUGGUCUGAGAGGAUGAUCAGUCACACUGGAACUGAGACACGGUCCAGACUCCUACGGGAGGCAGCAGUGGGGAAUAUUGGACAAUGGGCGAAAGCCUGAUCCAGCCAUGCCGCGUGAGUGAAGAAGGUCUUCGGAUUGUAAAGCACUUUAAGUUGGGAGGAAGGGCAGUAAGUUAAUACCUUGCUGUUUUGACGUUACCAACAGAAUAAGCACCGGCUAACUUCGUG
rnacentral:rRNA from 1 species